GAUGAACGCUGGCGGCGUGCCUAAUACAUGCAAGUCGAGCGAACGGACGAGAAGCUUGCUUCUCUGAUGUUAGCGGCGGACGGGUGAGUAACACGUGGAUAACCUACCUAUAAUACUGGGAUAACUUCGGGAAACCGGAGCUAAUCCCGGAUAAUAUUUUGAACCGCAUGGUUCAAAAGAGAAAGACGGUCUUGCUGUCACUUAUAGAUGGAUCCGCGCUGCAUUAGCUAGUUGGUAAGGUAACGGCUUACCAAGGCAACUAUGCAUAUCCGACCUGAGAGGGGGAUCGGCCACCCGGGAGCGGAGACGCGGACAAGACUCCUGCGGGAGGCAGCAGUAGGCAAUCUGCGGCAGUGGGCGAAAGCCUGACGCAGCAACGCCGCGUGAGUGAUGGAGGUCUUCGGAUCGUAAAACUCUGUUAUUAGGGAAGAACAGAUGUGUAAGUAACUGAGCACAUCUUGACGGUACCUAGUCAGAAAGCCACGGCUAACUACGUG
rnacentral:rRNA from 1 species